UCAGGAUGAACGCUGGCGGUCUGCUUAACACAUGCAAGUCGAACGCAACCUUCGGGUUGAGUGGCGGACGGGUGAGUAACGCGUGAGAAUCUGCCUUGGGGUCGGGGACAACCACUGGAAACGGUGGCUAAUACCGGAUAAGCCUUUGGGUAAAAGAUUUAUUGCCCCAAGAGGAGCUCGCGUCUGAUUAGCUAGUUGGUGAGGUAAAAGCUCACCAAGGCAGCGAUCAGUAGCUGGUCUGAGAGGACGAUCAGCCACACUGGGACUGAGACACGGCCCAGACUCCUACGGGAGGCAGCAGUGGGGAAUUUUCCGCAAUGGGCGAAAGCCUGACGGAGCAAGACCGCGUGAGGGAGGAAGGCUCUUGGGUUGUAAACCUCUUUUCUCAGGGAAGAAGCUCUGACGGUACCUGAGGAAUCAGCCUCGGCUAACUCCGUGCCAGCAGCCGCGGUAAUACGGAGGAGGCAAGCGUUAUCCGGAAUUAUUGGGCGUAAAGCGUCCGCAGGUGGCGAUUCAAGUCUGCUGUCAAAGCACGGGGCUUAACUCCGUUAAGGCAGUGGAAACUGAAUAGCUAGAGUGCCGUAGGGGUAGAGGGAAUUCCCGGUGUAGCGGUGAAAUGCGUAGAGAUCGGGAAGAACAUCGGUGGCGAAAGCGCUCUACUGGACGGCAACUGACACUCAGGGACGAAAGCUAGGGGAGCGAAUGGGAUUAGAUACCCCAGUAGUCCUAGCUGUAAACGAUGGAUACUAGGUGUAGCUUGUAUCGACCCGAGCUGUGCCGAAGCUAACGCGUUAAGUAUCCCGNCUGGGGAGUACGCACGCAAGUGUGAAACUCAAAGGAAUUGACGGGGGCCCGCACAAGCGGUGGAGUGUGUGGUUUACUUCGAUGCAACGCGA
rnacentral:rRNA from 1 species